AGAGUUUGAUCCUGGCUCAGGAUGAACGCUAGCGGCAGGCUUAACACAUGCAAGUCGAGGGGUAUAGUUCUUCGGAACUAGAGACCGGCGCACGGGUGCGUAACGCGUAUGCAAUCUACCUUUUACAGAGGGAUAGCCCAGAGAAAUUUGGAUUAAUACCUCAUAGUAUAUAGCCCUGGCAUCAGGAUUAUAUUAAAGUCACAACGGUAAAAGAUGAGCAUGCGUCCCAUUAGCUAGUUGGUAAGGUAACGGCUUACCAAGGCUACGAUGGGUAGGGGUCCUGAGAGGGAGAUCCCCCACACUGGUACUGAGACACGGACCAGACUCCUACGGGAGGCAGCAGUGAGGAAUAUUGGACAAUGGGCGCAAGCCUGAUCCAGCCAUGCCGCGUGCAGGAUGACGGUCCUAUGGAUUGUAAACUGCUUUUAUACGAGAAGAAACAUCCCGACGUGUCGGGACUUGACGGUAUCGUAAGAAUAAGGAUCGGCUAACUCCGUGCCAGCAGCCGCGGUAAUACGGAGGAUCCAAGCGUUAUCCGGAAUCAUUGGGUUUAAAGGGUCCGUAGGCGGUUUAAUAAGUCAGUGGUGAAAGCCCAUCGCUCAACGGUGGAACGGCCAUUGAUACUGUUAGACUUGAAUUAUUAGGAAGUAACUAGAAUAUGUAGUGUAGCGGUGAAAUGCUUAGAGAUUACAUGGAAUACCAAUUGCGAAAGGCAGGUUACUACUAAUUGAUUGACGCUGAUGGACGAAAGCGUGGGUAGCGAACAGGAUUAGAUACCCUGGUAGUCCACGCUGUAAACGAUGAUUACUCGUUUUCGGCGAUAUACAGUCGGAGACUAAGCGAAAGUGAUAAGUAUCCCACCUGGGGAGUACGUUCGCAAGAAUGAAACUCAAAGGAAUUGACGGGGGCCCGCACAAGCGGUGGAGCAUGUGGUUUAAUUCGAUGAUACGCGAGGAACCUUACCAAGGCUUAAAUGUAGAUUGACCGGUUUGGAAACAGAUCUUUCGCAAGACAAUUUACAAGGUGCUGCAUGGUUGUCGUCAGCUCGUGCCGUGAGGUGUCAGGUUAAGUCCUAUAACGAGCGCAACCCCUGUUGUUAGUUGCCAGCGAGUCAAGUCGGGAACUCUAACAAGACUGCCAGUGCAAACUGUGAGGAAGGUGGGGAUGACGUCAAAUCAUCACGGCCCUUACGCCUUGGGCUACACACGUGCUACAAUGGCCGGUACAGAGAGCAGCCACUGGGCGACCAGGAGCGAAUCUAUAAAACCGGUCACAGUUCGGAUCGGAGUCUGCAACUCGACUCCGUGAAGCUGGAAUCGCUAGUAAUCGGAUAUCAGCCAUGAUCCGGUGAAUACGUUCCCGGGCCUUGUACACACCGCCCGUCAAGCCAUGGAAGCUGGGGGUGCCUGAAGUCGGUGACCGCAAGGAGCUGCCUGGGGUAAAACUGGUAACUAGGGCUAAGUCGUAACAAGGUA
rnacentral:rRNA from 1 species